rnacentral:rRNA from 1 species
GUGGGGAAUAUUGGACAAUGGGCGAAAGCCUGAUCCAGCCAUGCCGCGUGUGUGAAGAAGGUCUUCGGAUUGUAAAGCACUUUAAGUUGGGAGGAAGGGCAGUAAGUUAAUACCUUGCUGUUUUGACGUUACCGACAGAAUAAGCACCGGCUAACUUCGUGCCAGCAGCCGCGGUAAUAAGAAGGGUGCAAGCGUUAAUCGGAAUUACUGGGCGUAAAGCGCGCGUAGGUGGUUUUGUAAGUUGGAGGUGAAAUCCCCGGGCUCAACCUGGGAACGGCCUCCAAAACUGCAUGACUAGAGUACGGUAGAGGGUAGUGGAAUUUCCUGUGUAGCGGUGAAAUGCGUAGAUAUAGGAAGGAACACCAGUGGCGAAGGCGACUACCUGGACUGAUACUGACACUGAGGUGCGAAAGCGUGGGGAGCAAACAGGAUUAGAUACCCCAGUAGUCC